UUUUCGUUCAAGAUUAAGAAAGAAACAAAAGCAGCCUUCCAUUUCAUUCCAAAAGAAGGAAAUAAAAUCAUGGAGAUACUAGUAACUAUAGUUAUCAAAAGAGAAGUUUCAAUAGGAGCAGGAGCUGGGUUAACUGAAGAGAGAGAGAGCUUUGAUUUUUAGACAACCAAAUCAGGUAUAAUUGAUGCUAUAUAUAUAAUUGUUAUUAAAUAAGGAGUUUAGUAUGUAUAAUCGUUGCUAUGAUACUCUGUUUGGUUGGAAAAUUGUGUAUAAGAAUGAAAAAUUCUGGCUAAACUUUGCUUAAACAAUUUUGAAAUCUGAAGUUUUAAAUUUACGCCUUUAUGUUGUUUGAUAAAAUGCCUCAUAGAGGCUAAAGUGUUUACAACUAAUAAUUUACAAAUGCUUGAAACCAAGUUAUGUGCAUAUAUGUAUUAGAAGAUAACUCACAUGAAGGUUUAAUUUGAUUAUCCAGACUGCGUUUCAUAUUACCAAGGUCUCUAGUGAGUAUUUUAUCAAGGUCAGUGGGUGAAAACCCAUAUGAAUUGAGGUAAUCAAAUUUGGGUUUACGUGUGUUGUCUGGAUGGAAAGAUCUGUACUGGGCUAUUUCUUUCUUCUUUUUUUUUUUUUGCUAAAUUUAAACUGUAUUGAAAGAAAGGAAAUUACAAAAAUCAUGGGUAACCCCAAUCAGAGAAUAGCAUAGACAUCAUACGACAAGCCAUAUAAAGUCAUGACUAUAGAAUACCGCAGGCUGAAAGCCUAACAACACUAACAAUUUUACUGUUAGUACAAACCAUAACCAAAACAUACAAUUGCUUAAACAAGCUGACCAUUACAGACCCAAAGAAAACUAGUAUCUUUAACAAAGUCUAAACAGCCACCCGAUUGCAUCAAAGAAGCCACUCUUCGGCAGAAAUGACCAACCUCAUUUAUACAGCUUCAUGACAUAGAUAAAAUCGAGCAGCAGCAGAGGGCAUUCUAUAGAUCCCCAGGCACCCAUCCAGAUCAGACAACAACUUCCCUACCAAAUAGCAUUAAGAGGAUCCACUGUUUCUCUCCCCUAUGGCCCCAAAUAUAGCUGCAACCGCAAAACUCAGCAUCCACUGUCUGUCUAUAGUCCUUUCUAGCCCACAGAGGAGCAUCAGCCGAGUAGAUUUAGCUACAGCUGCUCGAAAUCUCCAUUCUGUAGCAGCCAUCAGAAUCAUUUUAUAGCAGUGGCAGUAGGAUACCAGAGAACCCAAGAAUGGCCACGGCCUAGCAGGUCUGUAGCAGCAGAAGAUGGCCCCGACCCACAGCUGCUCGUCCUGUAGCAUCAGUAGUAGCAUCAGCAGACAAUUCCGAGCAGCACAACCACAUCAUUAGCAACACAACAAAACGGCACUAUGAGGUACCGAGCAUCUGCAUCUGCAGCGCAUGCGCAAUAGCAUUCAGAACUAGCAGCAAAACCCUGGAUUGGGCCCUGACGCAAUGGUUAGUAGCAUCAUUAGCAAUUCCGAUUGGGCCCUCCCAAGUUCUAACCAUCACUCGGUUAUUGAAUUCAGACAUCUCUUCUCUCCGGCCAUAGGCUGCAACCCCUCCAUAGAGGACUCGGUUCUAUGGGACAACACUAAUACCGUUGGGAAAGCAACUUCCUUCUUUUGGGGUUCCAUCCGAUCCUAUGGUAAUCUAGUGACAUGGGAUAAUCUGGUGUGGCACAAAUACCUCCCUCCUCGAUAUUAUUUCUUCUUAUGGCUUGCAUUCCAGAACGGGUUACGUACCAAGGAUCGGCUCUCAAAUUAUGGGCUCGUUGUAAACCAAACAUGCCUUUUAUGUAACUCCCACAAUGAGACUUUCGACCAUCUUUUCUUCAACUGCCCUUUCUCCUACAACAUGCUCUUUUCUGUUCUCAGGAACUGUGGGUGGAAGGGAUCCUCAAGGAGUUGGAACCCUAUCACUUCUUUCCUCAUUGCCCAACCAAACAGCUCCGUUCAACAAGGUAUUCUUCUCCUAGGUUUUGCCACGGUUGCUUACCAUAUUUGGCAGGAAAGAAACGCUAGGAUACAUGAUAAAGGUCCCAUGCCGGUUAGGACUGUCACCCGUAAUGUUAUGCAGAUUUUGAAAUGCAAGCUCCACUCCAUUCGUAGAUUCCAAAAAGUGAAAGACAGUCCAUGGUUUUCUAAUCUAGCCCUCUAGAGACCUGUCUAUUUCAGGUUUGCCACUGUCGCUGAGCUGAUGGGCUAUUUCUUAAAUUUGGGUUUCAAUGAAGCCAUAGAUUUUGAAGAGAGAGAAAAUAGAUUCAUUUUGUGUCUCAGUAAUUUCAUAUCUGAAAAAUAUUUUUGAUUUAAAGGACAUAAUUGGGGUGAUUUUAAAGAACUAAUAGUAGUUUUUUUAGCAAAAUCUUUUGUAUAAAAAACUAAGCAUCAUGAUUUAACAAAAGGGGUUGUAUGAGAUUUCAGAAAUUACCAACCUUUUAAGUUCCUUUUGAAUCUCUGAGUCUCUAUAGAACGAACGAACUGAACAUUAGUGAAUUAUUAAAAAAAAUGAGAAUAUACACAUACAACAUUUCGUUUUUGGAAAACAUAGAAGGAUUGUUUUUGAUGUUGGAUUUUUAGAGCUAAGUAUUUUGUGGGCUAUAUAUGACCACUAUCAUGAUGUUUCUCUUUUCUAUUUAAAAAUCAUACGGAGGCAUUUGGUGCACGUGAGAACUUGUGAAAACUUAGUAAACAAGAAAAAUCGAGGCAAUAAUGCUAUUCACAGUGGAGGGCCAAAACCAUUUGUUGUUGAGGAUUGUGAUCUUGUGAGAAGAAGCCUAAGAUUUUCAGCAACUUGGAUCUUUUAAUUUCCAGCUGCUUCUUCAUGUUCUUCACCUAUGCAAACAUAAUAAAAUUAAGUGCCAGAAAAAUUAAGCUGUAUUUAGGAUUUUUUACACAAACCAGGGAAACAAGUAUAUAGCUACAUACUCUUUUCCUCAGUUUGCUGUAUUAAAGAGAGCAAUUCGAUAUGCAUUUGAACAACUAAAACGUCGUAUUUUCGAUGUGAACUCUUGCAACAUGCUAAUUCUGCAAGUAACAUUUCUGAUUGCCCUUUCUUUAAACCAAGAACUUAUAACAUAGGCACAAUCAUUUAAAGAAAAUAACAUGUCUUAAAUGCAAUAUUGGUAGGUUUAGCCUUUUUUGCUCUUCUAAAUGUAAAAGAUGUUGGAAUCCAUGGAAGACAGUGGAAUACUUGCACAAAAUUUUAAAGUAGUCUCAGAUGACAUAGAAAAAUUCACUUCUUCACAACGAAAUUCAUCUGCUGGCUUUCUUUUGGAAGCUUCUUUCUUCUUGUGUGUUGUAGGCCUUCGGUAAUUCUUUUCUCUUUCAUUAGAAACCCUGAAAGAACCUUACAUUUCUUUUUAUCAAUUUUCUCUAUAAAGGCUCCCCUCUUCCUAUUGCCCAUCAACGCCUAAUCAAGUUCAGUAUCUUUUCUUCAAAUUCGUAACUUAGUAUUUUUUUUUGUUCUUUUCUCACUGCCCUUCAUUAUUGGAGGCUUGUGUUUAGAUUUUAAAUCACUUUUCCUGCCUGAAUUGUUCACUUUGGUGAUUCUUCUCACUAAAUCUACUGAUGCAACAUAAAAUUUAAAGUUUGAAAUGCAAUAGAUGGAAAUGUUAUAUCUGAGCAGACCUUGCCUGAAUUAGUUGGCUUUAUAACCAAAGCACAUGCAUAUUGUGUGCUCUUUUUAGAUUUCUUCACAUUAAGGUCAUUCUUCCCAUUUGCCUUUGCAGCAUGCAUAAGGAUCCCAGUAGGUUGACAACCUCUCCUCUUCUUACAUUACCCAAUAAUAUACUCCUCAAAAACAUCAAAAAUUACUAAAUUAAGAAAUUCUUGAAAUAGGUCUUCUCUGAUUUAAAACAAACAAACACUUACCUGCAAUCUACUUCCUUUGUUGUAAUCAGGGUUAGUUGGGAGUUCUGUUUUCCCUUUGUUCAUAUUAGCAUGUUUUAAUUUCUUAUCAUUUGUUGCUAUAUUUUUCAUUGGUGUUGAAUGGAUGAAAAUAUGAUACCAUCUCUUUUCAUCUCUGAUCACGAUAGGAGUAAUUCAAUAUGUUGUGUUGUGGGGUUUCUUUGCUUUUGUUUGGGGUUUUGCGAAGGAUCUAUCAAUUUUGGUCUCCUGACCCGGUCAAAACAUAUGGGGCCUUUUUCGGCUGUUUAGUUCUUAAUUUGGGGAUUUGCUCCCUACUAAUUUUCGAAGCUUUAUUUUUUUAUUCCCUCUAUUAAAUCAGUUUGGGUGUGUUUUGAUUCAUUUAUUCAAAUGGUUUUUGAUUUAGUUCAAUUGGAUUUAUCUGUGUUCCGGUGUAAUAGCCGGUGUUUAUUUUUAGAAAUCAUAUUUAUCAUUGUUGAGUUCAGGAUCUGAUUUGAUUUUCAGGGAGAUCCAAUUGAAGGUUAGAAAAUCACACAUCAGAAAAAGCGAACAAACGAGUGGGUACAACCUGAAAAUGAAUCUACAUACGUAAGUUAUACAAACCUUACUUUGUUAACCACCAGCAUUUAGUGCAGCGGUUAAGGAUUGAUUGGGGGCGAGCCGUAAACCCGGAUGUCCUCAGUUCGAACCCCGCUAGCAACAAGUGUUAAGCCAGAAAUGGUCAUGGUGGCCACGGUACCCCCGGUACAAGUCGGGUAGCAAACCGCUCUGGUAUCGGGCUCGGGGGAUUAGUCGGCCUGCGGAUCGGAAACCCACGGUUAACAAAAAAAAAACCUUACUUUGUUUUUAAAUUUGGGAUUACCUUUGAAUUAUUUGCAUUUGUUGUUAAUUUCACACAAUGAAAUGAAAUCACUUGAGAUUGAAUUCAUCUAUGAGAUGGAAGUAGAAUCUGGAAAUGGUGUACUGAUAAAAGGGAGAUUAUAACUCUAGUGUUGGGCAAGAAGGUAGGGAGAUUACUUGAUUUUGGAUUUUUUCCUUGAGCAGAGAAUUCUUCAUCCAUCGAAAAAGAGAAAAUUGCAUUGGCAGAUUGACAAUCUUGAGAAUAUAAUGAACAAGUUGGUCAACAAUCUAGAUUUUUUUCUAUUGAUUCAAGGUAACACUAGCUUAGGGACAAAAAGAACUGAAAACAACUCUUGAUCAUUAUACAUGGACAUUCAAACUGUUGAACUUUCUUGUGGACACUACAAAAAUUUGGAUAUUCAUGUUAAACUUUAUGUUAGACUUGGAAAAUCAUUAACUUAAAUUACAAUGGAUGAUAUUUGAAUUUUGAUUUUCCUAUUUUGGUUAAAUAUGAUGGAAAGUUAAAAUUUAAUUAAUUUAUUAUCACGGUUGGUGUUUUUCUAUUGUUACAGUCCUUAACUUAUUUGAGGCAAAAUAUUAAUUGGGUAAACAACUCUUUUAAUAUAAUGUUUAAGAAUGAAUCAGGUAUGUUGGAUACAUUGAAGAAGCUCUUUCAGCUUUAUAUCAAGUAGUAAUAUAAUUUUCUUAGUUCCAAAAGUUUUCAUAAUAUCACAAAACGCAUUCCAUGCUUGUUUGAAAUUAUCUCAUUGAUUAGAAUAACAAUACAAUUUAGCUAUAAUUUCAAGCCUAAUUUCACGAAAUAUUAUCCAUCAACAUUUCAAGAUAAUAAAUCUCUAUAACAAGAAUAGAUUCAAGAGUGAGUAUGCCAGCAUCGAAUGUAAGACCCCAACUUUUUAUGAAUAAAGAUUUAAUUUUUUUCUAAAUAUUAUUUUGAAUAAUAAGGUGUUGAUUUGAUAUAAUGCUAUAGUUAUGGGUGAUAUGUGCAAAUUUACAAAGUAAGCAAGUUGUCAUUAAAUAUUCGUUUUGUCGGGGAAUAUUCUUUUUGUCGGGGAAUAUCCGUACAAUGAUGCAAUCAUCGGUGGACAACAUAACAGAAUAACUAUCCGUGGUUGCACAGUAGCAUACGGUAGCACAGUAUCUCUGAUUAUUGAUUCUUAGGUAAGAAGUCACUCAAUAAUUGAUACAGUAAAAAUUGGACAGUCUUUCAUAUUAUUGAUGCAAUAAUUGCUACAAUUAUAAUUAAUUAGUAUUUUACAUUAUUGAUUCAAUAAUUGUCGUGACAUGGUAACUCAUAUUAUUGAAAUGAUAUUAUUAGAUAGCAUUAUUGAUAAUGUCUAGAAAGUUAUGUCGAGGAAAGAGGUUAGGUUAUAUAAUUGCGCGCCAGUAUGGAAGAAUCCUUAUCGGAAAGUCCACUCUUUCCUUGGAAUGAUCUGGUUGUCAGUAUUGUGAAUCUAUAAUAUUAAUUAGAAAUAAUUAUUGAAGAAUUGUAAAUAAUUGAUGAUAUGGUAAGUAAAUAUUUCCUCAAUUUUGUUAUAAAUGGAAGAAUUUUAGAAUGAGACAUUUGUCGAAAGUUUGACAUAUUUUUCUAUAAGACUAUAAUUAUCUUCUCCAAUAAAAUAUUCAUUCAAAUAUAUUAUUAUAAUAUUACAUUAUCAUAGUAUAAUGUGAUAAUAUAAUAGUAAUUUAAAUGGUAAAUAUUAUUAUAUAUUUUUUGGCAUGUGAAUUAAAUUGAGUGAAGAUGAUCAAAUUGAAUUUGAAUUAGUUUUCAAAUUGAAUUUGAAUUCUUUUAUUUCAAAUAAACAUGUGAAUAAAUGUGGGAAUUCUCAUUUUAAGUUUUAACUCUCCUUUUUCAAAUAGGUGUGCUGCAUUUUCAAAACUAAUGUGCAUAUGUGUAAAUUUUGUUAAUUCUAGUGUGCUAGCAUUUUCCUAUAAAUAGGUUGCUUAGGUAAACAAUGAAACUCACACUAGCAUAAAAAAAUUCUCUCUAUAAUAUUGAGUGUAUUUCUUGUGAGUAUAAGGAUAUUUUUAGUGUUGAUAACAGUGCAAGAUUUCCUCAGCAUAAUCUCCGUUAUUCCAGUCAGAACUACUUUUCUACUAAGGUAAAGGAUGUUAUUUUCUUUCAAUACUCGUAAAUGAUAUUAUUUCCUUCCAUACUCGUAAGGGAUAUCAUUUUUAUUCAUACUCCAUGUUAUGUAAGUGACAUUAUUUCAUUUCAUAUUCCUAAAUUUAAACUUACUAUGGUAAGUAUUGCUUCUAACUUACCAAAAAAAAAAAGUAUUGCUUCUAUAAUUCCUGAAAUGAUUAGAAAUUCAUUAAGAUUUGCGCUUCAUCUAAUAUCAUUUCACUGGAAUAUUGGUCUAAAGAUUCUUAUUAUAUUUUAAUCUUUUAAUGUUGGGGUACUAUUCAUGGGUACUAUUCAUAUGGUACUAUUCAUGAGUACUGUUCACAACAAAAUUUAAUUUCUUUUCUGUCCAAAUUAUUUUUGAUACAUGAAUAUCAUUAUUGAAUUUUACUCCACAAUUAGUUAUCAUGUUGACAAUUUGGACUUUCUUGAACUUUGGAUAAAUUAAAUUAUAAAUCUUUAAUAUUUAUCAUUGAUCUCACUUGAUUGAUUCUUUAUAUCAUUGUCAUCAUCCUCAUGCUUAUAUUAUGUUAAAAGUCAUCUUUGGCCCGUAGUGCAAAGAUGGACUGUUGAUUGGUAUGAUUAUGACCAAGAUUUGUGUAUUGGUAUAAUCAUAACUUUUAAUGUUACAGAUAAAAGUUUGUGGUGAAAGUCCUCUUUGGCUCGAAGUGCAUAGAUGGACAGGUGUUUGACAUGAUUAUGACCAUUGGUGAUACAAACGAUUAUCUUUGGCCUGUACUGCAUAGAUAACUCUUUGAUUGGAAAUAAUUAUUGAUUGGUGUUGCAGGGAUAAAAUAUUGAUGAUGAACUUUUAAAUUAUAGAAGAUAGUAUACAUCAUGCUCUACUUGACUCUUCUAAUGGAUUGUUGUUUCCGCUGCAGUUGUUGAUCUAAAACUUGUUGUCUAUUGUAUUCUAUCAGAUUUUUCCCUGUUGAGGACUAAGGAUAAUUUGUUCUACAUUAUCUUAGUCAUAAUAUUCUUUACUUGGCUAGUUGAGCUCACCCUUUUUCUUUUGGUUCCAUUGUUCUUCCCAGGAGGUGAGAAUAUAGCUGGGACUAGUCGGGGAUUGGAGUAAUGGUUCAAGAUGGUUACUAUAGGAGUCCUCACUAUUUUGUAAAAAAGUGUAACAAUAAUUAUAAUGAGGACUUUAUUUGAGUUUGGAUAUUGUCUACAAGAUAAUAUUUGUAUUAAAACUCACAUCUUAUACUGUCAUAUUUUACUUGACAAUUAAUAGUUGUAUAAUUGAAGUUUGUAUUUGAAUUAUGUACCAUGUAUUUGGCGACUCAGAAUGGGUUGUGUGGACCUAUUUUGGGGGCGUCACAGUUGGUAUCAGAGCUUAGGGAUAUGAUCUCUGGUGGAGAUCUGGGAUUAUAACUAGGAGGGGAUAGACGAGUAAAUUCUUCGCUAGUGUGUCCUACCUAAGCUUAUUUGUUAUUUAAUUGGUCGGUCAAAAUAUAUGGAUAAUAUCUGGAAUGUCAAUUUAUUUAAUUAAACUUUGUUUUGUGGCAGUAUUUGUGAAUGACAUAUAAAAUUUUUGAGAUAAGCAAUGGAGCACAUGAGACCGUUGAGACACCGCCAAUCAAUAACCAGGAUAAUGUGCAUCAAGAAGGCAAUAAUCCUCAUGUAAACAACAACACCGACCAAAUGAUGAACGAUGGGAUGUUUAGGAGCUUUCUACAAUUCACGCAACACCAAACGAGACAGACUCAUGUUCAAAAUGUAGGUGGAAACAAUGGCAACUCACAAUUUUUUUUCGCUAAGUUUGUUUGUUUAUAAAAAAGAAAAGGAGAUAUCACAAUCGCACAGGGGCAUACCCCAGAAACACUAGAAUCCAUUAGGGACAGCCCCUUAAAAGGCCUACUAAAGACAGCAACCGGACUAAUAGAUAGAGCAAGGAACAUAUCCGGAUACAAAGCAUAUAAAAUGAGCAGGAAAUCUAAACAACCAUACAACUGAAACCAGCAACAAAUGAUCAAGAAAUAAAGCCAAAAGAAGGUUGCCGAAACUAAGCAUGACCCAUGCACCUAGCCAACCUAGCCCAGCCACAAAGAUGCUACACCACGCCCGGAAGAAACGGAUCACAAUAUCCAGAAAACAAACCGACCGACACCAGACUGCACUUCAUCAGAUUGCAGCCCCCGCAAUGGUCAGACCGACCUGAACUUUCCCCAAACCCUAUAGCAGCAACCAUUAGACUCCGACCACCCAUCCAUCUCUUAACAAGUAAUGGGCUAGCAUGAAACCGAAGCUCUCCCCCCGGAGUUUGCAGUAGCCGAGCAGCUUUACCAGCGGCCUAGAAAGCAGAAUCCAAGCCAAGACCCGACCUAUUACCACCAGACCAGAAUCCAAACAAAGGAGGAGGAUCGCACCAAUAGCAGGCAUCACAUCCAAAUACUGAGGUCAGGUCUACUCUGCGCAGCCUUGAGAAAUUUAGAAGAAGAAGAAAGCCUUGACUUAGUGAUAUUUAUAAUUUCCCUCACCAAAACAUUCAUAGGCAAUUUUGCAUUUUUAUGAACAAUUGAGUUCCUAGCUGCCCAGAGUUUGUAGACUGUGGUGGAAAAGACCAGCUUUAAAAUAUCAGACCGAAUUGUAUUUCCUUUAAAAUGAAUGAUAUAAUCCACUAGACGAUCCCAGCUCCUUGGAGCAUUAGCCCAGGCACCAAAGGCAAGAACAUAAGAGAGAACUGAAGUAGAGUAGGGACAAUCAAAGAACAAAUGAGAGAAGGUCUCAGCAUGAUUUUCACAGAAAAGGCAAUUCUUAGGUCGAAAGCUAUUGUAAGCAGAGAAUCUAUCAUUUGUGGGUAAUCUAUGCCGAAGAGCAAGCCACAGGGGUAAAGGAGAAUUGGGGGAUAUGGAGGGGAUACCAUAGCAAAUUAGCCCAUGGAACUUUCGGAGCACGCAAGCGAAUAGAUUCCCAAAUAGUGGAUGCUUUGACAUGUUUCACCGCCCGGUUGUCCCAAGGAAUCAAGUCCUCAGCAUCAGAAGGAUUAGGAAGGGAUGAGAUCAAGGUACGAAAUUGUUGCACAUCAUGAUGGUUACUGGAAGGCAAAGCCCAAACUCCCAUGGAAAUGAUGUCAGAAAUUCGAGCAUUAACAGGGAUUCUGGAGUUGGAGAGCAGGGAUGAAGAGGGGUUUAAGGGCUGCCCAUUCAACCACGGGUCAAACCAGAGACUGAAAAAAUUUCCAUUCCCAACUCUAUAGGUAAGGAAAGGGAGAGCUAUGGAACGAAGUUUAAGGAUCUUACGCCAAAUCCAUGAACAGUCCAAGGGGUUCGAGAUAUACCAGAAAUUAGUCAUAGAUAGCACUGUAGAUUUGACCCAAUAAGCCCACAAUGAGGGAGAGGAUGGGGAAAUGACCUUGAGAAGUUGGAGAAUAAUGAGAGCUGUGUUCCAGUCAGUAAGGUUUUUUAUCGCGAGACCACCUUCACAAAGGGGAAGGGACAGAUCCCUCCAAGAGACUUUAGUACCAUGCCGAAGGAGAGAAGAACCCUUCCAAAGAAAUCUACACAUGAUAGAUUGGAUGGCUCUUAGAACUGAUUUAGGAAGAAUAAAAUGGGAGGCCCAGAAAGACUGAAUUGCAAAGAGCACUGAUUUAAUCAGCUGAACUCUCACAGUUGGUCACUGAUAAGCAAUUCAAGGAGUUGGGACCACCGUAGUUUUUGGGAAAGCCAGAGCCACUUAAGGCAGAAGCAUGGAUUAAGCAUAUUACCAAGAUAUUUGAUGUCUUGGGAUGCUCAGAGGAGAAAAAGGUUCCCUUUGCCACCUUUAUGUUGCGUAGAGAGGCAGAUUACUGGUGAAAAUCUGUAAAGCGUACUCAUCUUUCCUCACUAACGAUGUCUUGGGAGAAGUUCCAGGAAUUAUUCAACGACAAGUAUUUUUCCAGAAAGUAUUCUUCAUAUGAAGGAGGUGGAAUUCAUCAAGUUGGAACUGAACAAUAUGAUUGUAUCACAAUACAAGACUAAGUUUGCAGAGUUAUCUCGGUUUGCAUCCCAUUUGGUGGAUAAUGAGGAGCGAAUGACACGAAUGUUUUUGAGAGGUUAAAAACCCGAAAUUCGUCAAUAUAUCAUUUCUUAUAAACUUUGUUUGUAUUCAAAUGUUGUGAAUAUGGCUCAAUUGUUGGAGCGAGAUAAUGAGAUAGCUCAACCAAAAGACAACAACCGGCAACAAGAUAAUAGUCGUACCAGUGGCAACAGUCAUCAGAGCAGUGAUAACCAACGUGGAGGAAAUUAUCAUAUCAGAAAUGGUAACCACUUCGGUGGUAAUCCUGGCUAAGAUAAUAGAAGAAAUGAGUCAAGUGGAAAUUUCAAAAAGAGAAGAUUCAACAAUGGCGGAAUGACAUCGGUAGCAGCACCAACACCAUCAACCGUUUCUAGGGAUGAGAACAACUACCAGUUAGAUGAUACAGAUGUGGAGAGGAGGGACAUAUCAGUCCAAACUGUACACUGCCUUCCGAGGUGUGUUUCAGUUAUGGAAAGGACGGUCACAUAGCUCAAUUUUGUCCUGUAGUGAAGUCAUGUCCAGCUGGGACGGUGGCACCAAAGGCGGCUACGGACAAGACAAAGUCGGUGGUUUAGGGGAGAGCUUUUGUCGUGACUUCCCAAAAAGCGAGGAACCCGAACGAAGUUAUCACGGGUAAGCUAAUCAUAAACUCUUGCGAAGUUUAUACCUUAUUAGAUACUGGUUCUAGCCAUUCUUUUAUUUCACCUGCUUGUGCUCAACGUUUGAACUUGACUCCUGAGAAAUUAGACUUUGACUUAUCUGUUGAAACUCCGUUAAGAGAAACCUUCAUUACAUCCACUGUUUAUAAAUCUUGUUUGAUUCAAAUUAGCACCCUCACAUUAUAUGUUGAUCUCAUCUCUUUGAAAAUACUUGUAUUUGAUGUGAUUUUAGGGAUUGAUUGGUUAACUACUCAUCAUGCUAAAAUUGAUUGUUUUCAUAAGGUCGUUAGUUUUCAUAUUCCUAACCAACCUGUUAUGCGAAUUCAAGCAACCAAACCACUAAAGUCAAUCACUGUCAUAUCAAGCCAUAAAGCCAUUCGUUUAUUGAAAAACGGAUGUCACGCUUUCUUAGCUCAUGUCAUGGAUUUAAACACAAAUAUGUCAAAUUUGAAUGAUAUUUCUAUUGUUAAUGAAUUUCCUGACGUAUUUUCUGAAGAACUUCCUGGCCUACCCCCAGAGCGUGAAAUCGAAUUUUAUAUUGACCUUGAACCCGGUACAAAACCCAUUUCCAAAACCCCAUAUCAAAUGGCUCCUAUUGAACUUCAAGAGUUAAAAACCCAACUAUAGGAGCUAUUAGACAUUGGUUUCAUUCGUCCUAGUACAUCUCCUUGGGGUGCUCCUGUUUUGUUCGUAAAGAAGAAAGAUGGGAGUAUGUGAUUUUGCAUUGACUAUCGGGAGUUGAACCAUGUCACCAUAAAAAAUAGAUACCCGUUACCUCGCAUUGAUGACCUGUUUAACCAGUUAUAAGGUGCUAAAUUCUUCUCAAAGAUCGAUCUUUGUUCCGGAUAUCAUCAGUUAAAGAUUAAAACUGAUGACAUUCCAAAGACUGCUUUCAGGAUUCGGUAUGGGCAUUACGAAUUCCUAGUCAUGUCUUUUGGAUUGACUAAUGCUCCUGCUGCCUUCAUGGAUAUGAUGAACCAAGUAUUCAAGAAAUAUUUGGAUCAUUUUGUGGUUGUCUUUAUUGAUGUCAUCCUCAUCUAUUCGAAAAGCCGUGAAGAUCAUGAAUAACACUUGAGGCUGAUACUCCAAAAGCUUCGUCAAAAUAAGUUAUACGCCAAGUUGAAGAAAUGCGAGUUCUGGCUUGAGGAAGUAGCCUUCCUUGGGCACGUAAUAUCGAAACAUGAUAUAUCAGUUGAUCUGGCAAAGAUUGAAUAAAUAUACAAAGUUGGGAGCAACCUAAGUCAGUAACCGAAGUACAUAGUUUUCUGGGCUUAGCUGGUUAUUAUCGGAGAUUCGUGGAAGGAUUUUCUCGAAUCGCUUCUCCAUUAACUUAGUUGGCUCAAAAAGAUACAACAUUCGAAUGGAGCGAGGAAUGUGAGAAGAGCUUCCAAGAACUCAAGAGGAGACUCAUUUUAGCAGCUAUUCUGAUAAUACCAUCAGGUUCAGAGGGAUUUGUCAUCUAUAACGAUUCUUCAGGUAGAGGUUUAGGAUGUGUUCUCAUGCAACAUGGGAAAGUCAUAGCCUAUGCCUCACGACAACUCAAAGAAUAUGAGAGGAAUUAUCCUACUCAUGAUCUAGAGUUGGCAGCAGUCAUUUUCGCGCUAAAGAUUUGGAGACACUACUUAUAUGGGGAGAAAGAUGUAAUCACGGUUAGGGUCCCAUGUUUUUGAGAGCUCCUAUUGGCUUUUGGAUCUCCUUGGAUUUAUGGCUCCUUGUUGUUUCCUUGGGCUGUUCAGUUUUGGCUAAAUGUUUCAGUAUUGGUUGUAAGUUAUUGCAAUUGUUUAGUCAUAGUCUCCUGUAAUAGGGUUGUUGAUUUCUCUUGUUCCUUUUGUUUUUUCUUGUUUGGCUUGGUUUGGUAUGGUUGUUUUAGCUUGCCUUUUUUUAGUCGUGACAUCAUAGGGCAUGUCCUGUGAUGUCUAUGCUAUAUUCUAUUGGGGUCCCCAAUGUCCCUUGUAUCUUUUUUCCAUCUAUAUAGUUUUAAAAUUUAGCAAAAAAAGAAAGUGGAGAUCUAUACAGAUUAUAAAAGCCUCAAAUAUUUCUUCACCAAAAAGGAACUUAACAUGCGGCAACGACGUUGACUCGAGCUAUUGAAAGAUUACGACCAUACCAUUCAAUACCAUCUUGGAAAAUCAAACGUGGUAGCUGACGCGUUGAGUAGAAGAUCGUAUGCGAGUACGAGUGUGAUGGUGUUAACACAAAAACUCACUUUGUAUGACUUACAAAAAAUGGAGAUAGAGCUAAAAACUCUAGGGACCCACGUGAAGACGGCAAAUAUACGAGUAGAACCGACUUUAAUCGAUAAAGUUAAAGCUGCUCAAGCUACAGACCCAGAGAUGAUGAGUAUGAAGAAGAAAGUACAAGAAGGUGCUAUUCCAGAAAUAAGAAUCGACGAAAAAGGAAUAUUUCGAGUCAACUCCAGACUUUGUGUUCCUGACGACUCUGAUUUGAAGUAUAAAAUCAUGAUGGAGGCACACAACACACUGUUUGCAAUCCAUCCUGGAAGUACCAAAAUGUAUCGUGAUCUUCGGCAUACAUUUUGGUGGAGCAAUAUGAAGAGAGAGAUCGUGAAGUUAUCUCAAGGUGUUUAACUUGUCAACGUGUCAAGGCGGAGCAUCAAGUACCAAAAGGUCCAUUGCAACCACUUGAAAUUUCAGAAUGGAAGUGGGAGCACAUCAACAUGGAUUUCGCUACUGGUCUUUCCAAGGUUUCUCAAGGCAUAGAUGUAAUUUGGGUCAUUGUCGAUAUAUUAACCAAGUCUGCUCAUUUCUUGCCUAUACGAGAAACUUAUUUACUUGAACGUCUUGCUCGUAUGUACAUAGAUGAGAUUGUGAGAUUACAUGGUGUACCAGUAUCCAUAGUUUCUGAUCGAGACCCAAGAUUCACUUCACGAUUUUGGGUCAGCUUGCAUAAAGCUAUGGGCACUGAUUUACGAUUUAGGUCUGUAUAUCAUCCCCAUACGGACAGACAAUCAGAAAGGACUAUUCAAACUCUUGAAGAUCUAUUGAGACUCUGCGUAUGAUAAGUAGGUUUUAUACCUACUUAUCCGGUAUCUGUUACUUGAAUUAUUUGCUUAAUCUCAUGUUUCUUAGUUACUUUUCAUGCAUUUUGUGUUCGUUUUGUAGAUUAUAUGCUUGGGAGUUGAAAUCGCAAAGAUUUGGUAUGAAAACGCAAAUAAAAGCAAUCCGGACAUCGGUUGGGCUUUUAUGUUUAUUUCAUGUUUCUUGGUUUGGAACUUGGAUUACAUUGUAGAGCUUCUUCUUAGCUUUCUAGAACAUUUUGAAUCAUUCCAAUUGGAGUUCGGAUGCAAGAGUUAUGACAUGUGUACCAACGGACGUCGAACGUCACUGUUUUGGGUGGUCAUUUGCAUAGCAGUCACUUCCAGCCCACUUUCGACCUUUAUCCGUCCGUUAUUUCUAAAAUUUUAAAGUAUGAAAGUUGUAGAUCUCGUCGAUAUCUUCGAUUUGAUAGGUGGCAGGCCUCGUAACUCUUCCCGGAUCAAAAGUUAUGGCCGUUUUCCCAAAGGACGUCAGAGCAAAAAAUUUUCUUUCACAAAACCGCUGCCGGGGUGGGCAUGCGAGUCACAAAGCAGGCCCCUAGCCCGCCGGGGCGGGCCCAAAUCAAGCAUAAACCCCCGCCGGGGUGGGGGUAGCCCAGAAAAUGCGCGAAAAGUGCGAAUUUUGAUCCAAUUUGAGUCUGGGAAGGAUUGUUUCGAUCCGAUUGACACAAGGACUUCCAAGAGAAUUUCCAAGAGGACUUAAAGACAUAUGAAGAGACUUAUAAAAGGAGGAGAAUUACAAGGAUUAGGGGAGAUUAGAGACUAGAUAGAGGAUUCAAUUAGAUUAGAUUAGGGUAAAUUAGAUAAAAACACUAGUUCUUAUUAGAUUUGGAGAAUGAAGCAACUUGGAGACCAUUGAAGAAUCAAAGUAGGAGCAAGGAGGGGGCAUCAAAUCUACAGACAAUAGAUUCUAUCUUCUCAUCUUCUUCUAUCUCUGUCUUUUAUUGUUAUUUCAAUUGUGGAUUCUUAGUUUUAAUUCAAUAAUCAUGAACUAAUUCUUUGUUUGAGAUUACAAUAGAUCUUAUUGUGUAGUUUAUUUUAAUAUGUUUCGCUAUCAAUUAUUAUGUUCUAUUGUGAGGAUUGUCUAUUGUGAUUUGGACUUAAUUGUUUGAUUGAUUGACCAUCAAUUACCGUGAUAAUCUAUAUGAACUCGAGAGAUGAAGUAUUGAUUUAGAUCUUAUCAUGAUAGCAUGUGUCAUGAAUUUUGUCAAUAGCAGAUUUUUGAUUAUUGUUAAGGUAGAGAUACGCUUGACAUCGCAUGUAAUCGGAUAGAGAACUUAUUCUUCAACCUUCUUCAAUUGUAAUUCACAUAGAGAUAUAGUGGGUUAGUUGAUUAAGGUGUUUAACNNNNNNNNNNNNNNNNNNNNNNNNNNNNNNNNNNNNNNNNNNNNNNNNNNNNNNNNNNNNNNNNNNNNNNNNNNNNNNNNNNNNNNNNNNNNNNNNNNNNGUGAUCUUAAAUCUCCGUUAUCUUAAUUUAACUAGUGGAAUUUAAUAGUAGUUUAAUUUAUAUAAUUUGAAAUUCAUUCGUUUAAAUAAGAUUGAGUUGGUUACGGGUUAGUACUUGGUGAUUUUUGUUAAAUAAUUCUCUGUGGGAACGAUACUUUACUCUUCACUUUAUUACUUGUUGACCACGUAUACUUGCGUGUUGUGCGUAAUUAGAUUUUACCCAACAGCGUACUAGACUUCAUAGGAAGUUGGGACAAGUACUUGCCAUUAGUGGAAUUCUCCUACAACAAUAGUUAUCAACCGAGUAUAGGCAUGGCUCCAUUCGAGGCGUUGUAUGGACAAAAGUGUCGUUCUCUAGUAUGCUGGAAUGAGGUGGGUGAAGCAACGUUGUUGGGACAAGAAAUGGUAUGCAUGACUACGGAAAAGAUUCAAAUGAUCCGGCAACGUAUACAAACCUCACAAGACCGACAAAAGAGUUAUGCUGAUCUUCAUCGUAGGGACGUGUAAUUUAAUGUCGGAGGCCAUGUAAUUUUACAUGUUGCUCCAUAGAAAGGAGUUACGAGAUUUAGAAAGAGAGGAAAACUCAACCCUCGAUUUAUUGGUCCAUUUGAAAUCCUCGACCGAGUAUGUGUAUAAACUCGCCUUAUGUAAGACCCCAACUUUAUAUUAAUAAAAUUGAAUUUCCUCUAAUUAUUAUUGUGAAUAAUAAGGUGUUAAUUUGAUAUAAUACUUUGGUUAUGGGUGAAAUGUGCAAAUUUUGCAAAAUAAGCUAGUGGUUAUAAAAUAUUCAUUAUUGUCGGGGAAUAUUCGUUUAGUCGUGGAAUAUUCUUGCUAUCGGGGAAUAUUCGUACGAUGGAGCAGCCAUUUGUGGGCCCCAUAAUGGAAAACGGUCGGAUGAAGAAAAUGACAAGUUUGAGUUUUUUUAAAUAACGACUUAUAAUUGUUACUGUUAACACUGUUGGAAUAUCCGGUGGUUAAAAUACAGUAAUACGCGUGGUUGCACAGUAACACACGGUAUUGGACAGUAUUUUUUGGAUUAUUGAUUCUUACGGAAGGCACUACUCAAUAAUUGUUACAGUAAUUACUGUCCAAUAUUUUAUUUUAUUGAUUCAAUAAUUGCUACGUUGAUAUUUUAUAUUAUUGUUGUUUCAAUAAUUGUCAAUGCACAGUAUUUUCCAUUAUCAGAUCAAUAAUUCAUAUUAUUUGAAUAAUAUUAUUAGAUAGCAUUAUUGACAAUGUCUAAGGAAGUGCAGUCUAGGAAACGGGGUUUGGUCACCUAAUUGCACGCCAGUAAGGAGAAAUCCUUAUCGGAAAGCCCCCUCUUUCUUGGGAACGAACUGGUUGUCAUUAUUGUGAUUCUGUAAUAUUAUUUGUGAAUAAUUAAUUAUUGAUUUAUAUGAUAAGGAAAUAUUUAUUUUUAUUUGGAUAUAAAUGAAGGAAUUAAUGUUGAGGUGCUUUAUCAGUAUUUUGUCGGAAUUGAGGUAUUAAAAAUCAUCAGUAUGUGGAUUUCGGUCAUUUUUCGUAUGGAAUUUGAAAAAACGUUCUUCUACAAAGUUGUAGAGAAUUAAAUUUCAUGUAGAAUGGACAUAAAAUUUGCAUUUUUCUGAUAAAAGGGCUAUUUAUUAUGAAUUAUUGAAGUUUCUGAUUAUUAUUUAAAUUUAAAACAUUUUGGUGGGAUUUUCUAAAAGGGUGGGCCCCACUCUUGUCCUUGUAGAGUGCUGAGAAAUUUCAAAGUUUGAUUUCCAAGUAUGGCAUGCGUGAGAAUUUGUAAUAAAAUAUUAAUUUAUUAAAUUUUAGUCUGCUUUGGCGUUCUGCCAUUUUCCUAUAAAUAGAGUGUUUAGUUAGAAUUGAAAAUCACACCAGAAUCAGAAGUUUUCUCUCUAUAUAAUAUCAAGCGUAUUUUUGUGAGUAUUUAGUUACUUUGAGAGUUGCUAUUCAGUGCAAGUUCCUUCAGCAUUAUAUCCGAUAUUUCAGCCAGACAUAUUAUUCUUUUGAGGUAAGGGAUGUUAUUUUCUUAGUAAAUAAUGUUAUUUCGUUCAAUAUCAUUAUGCUGAAAUAUUGGUAUGAAUUUUAUUAUGAAAUUUUUACCUUUUUAUGUCGAGGUUACUAUUCAUGUAUACGGUACUAUUCACAUAUACGACACUAUUAAUGAAUACGGUACUAUUCACAAGUACUAUUCACGAAAUAUGAUUUUUCGUGUGAAAUUUCUACCUUUUCGUGUCAGAGAUACUAUUCACGUAUAUGACACUAUUCACGUAUACGACACUAUUCACAAAUACGGCACUAUUCACAGAAAAAUGAAUUUUUAUCUUCUUUGUCCAAGAUGUCUAUUAUGGUUACUAUCUUUGAUUGUAUCUAUGUUUUGAUCUUCAUUCUUGAAUUUUACUCCACUAUGGUUUAUUACGGAGUAUUUUUGAACAUGGAUUAUCUAAAGUACGAAUCCCUAAUCUUUGUCCUUUUAUCUAACUGGAUUCGUUUCUUUAAAAUAUUUUUCAUCAUAUUCAGUCCUAAAUGAUGAUAUAACUGAAUAUCUUUGGCCUGUAGUGCAAAGAUGAAUGAUUAUCUGAUGAAUAUCUUUGGCCCGUAGUGCAAAGAUGAACAGGUGUUGAGAUGAACAUGACCAACUGGUGAUACGAAUGACUAUCUUUGGCCCGUAGUGCAAAGAGGAAUAUUUGAUUCAAGAUGUGUAUUGAUUGAUGUUACAUGGAUAAAAUAUUGAUGAUGGACUUUUAAAUUAUAGAACAUAGUAGAUUUUAUUCUCUACUUAACUCUUCUAAUGAAUUGUUAUUUCCGCUGCGAAUAUUGAUCUAAAAUGUGUUGUCCAUUAUAUUUUAUCUGAUUUAUUGAAGGCUAACGAUAAUUUAUUGUACAUUACCUUAGUCAUAAUAUUCUUUAUUGGGCUAGUUGAGCUCACCCUUUUCGUUUUUGUUCCAUUUUUCUUCUCAGGAGGCGAGAAUAUAGCGGGAACUAGUCGGGGUGUGGAGUGAUGUUCUAAGUCAGUUGUUUUAGCGGUCCUCACUAUUUUUGUAAAAUAGUGUAUCAAUAAUUGUAAUGAGGACUUAUUUGAGUUUGAAUACUGUCUAAAAGACAAUAUUUGUAUCUAAACUCACAGCAUAUGUGUUGUCGUAUUUUGCACGAUAAUUGUAAUAAUGAAGUUGUAGUUGUUUUCUGUACCAUGUAUUUGGCGACUCAAAAUGGGUUGUGUGGACCUAUUUUGGGAGCGUCACACCUUACCA
rnacentral:lncRNA from 1 species